rnacentral:rRNA from 1 species
GAUUGAACGCUGGCGGAAUGCUUACACAUGCAAGUCGAACGGUANAGGGGGCAACCCCUCGAGAGUGGCGAACGGGUGAGUAAUAUAUCGGAACGUGCCCAGUCGUGGGGGAUAACGUAGCGAAAGUUACGCUAAUACCGCAUACCGAUCUACGGAUGAAAGCGGGGGACCGUAAGGCCUCGCGCGAUUGGAGCGGCCGAUGUCAGAUUAGCUAGUUGGUGGGGUAAAGGCCCACCAAGGCGACGAUCUGUAGCUGGUCUGAGAGGACGACCAGCCACACUGGGACUGAGACACGGCCCAGACUCCUACGGGAGGCAGCAGUGGGGAAUUUUGGACAAUGGGCGCAAGCCUGAUCCAGCAAUGCCGCGUGCAGGAAGAAGGCCUUCGGGUUGUAAACUGCUUUUGUACGGAACGAAAAGGUCCGGGUUAAUACCCUGGGCUCAUGACGGUACCGUAAGAAUAAGCACCGGCUAACUACGUG